rnacentral:rRNA from 1 species
UACAGAGGUCUCAAGCGUUGUUCGGAUUCAUUGGGCGUAAAGGGUGCGUAGGCGGCGCGGUAAGUCGUGUGUGAAAUCUCGGAGCUUAACUCCGAAACUGCAUUCGAUACUGCCGUGCUUGAGGACUGGAGAGGAGACUGGAAUUUACGGUGUAGCGGUGAAAUGCGUAGAUAUCGUAAGGAAGACCAGUGGCGAAGGCGGGUCUCUGGACAGUUCCUGACGCUGAGGCACGAAGGUCAGGGGAGCAAACGGG